AAUACGGUACUUUCAGGGAUCAUUUCUAUAGCGCUUAAUUUGAGAAAUGCUUUUCUAAAGUGACGGUCUCGCUAACUACGACGAUGAGAAUUGAUGUUCCUUCCUGAGCGUGAAGCUGGCGUAGGAUAAUGAUUUAUCAUAUUCAAGAUUCAAUAUUCAAGAGUUUUUUUUAUUCGCCAUGUUUGAGCGUGCCAAACAAGGAAUUUGACUUCGGUA